CUUCCGUAGGUGAACCUGCGGAAGGAUCAUUGUAGAGUUCCUUUUCGAACAGUUGUGAAAUUGUGCUCAUACUCGACGAGUACUACGUGUUUGUGCUAUUAGUGCAUGCGUAGUCUUGGNGGGUUCCCUUUUGCUGCCUUUGUGUUGCUUUAUUUAAAGUGAAAUGAAGAGCAGAAAUAAGACACCGGCACAGUUUGUGCCAAGGACAGUUACUGUUGGAGUGCAUUGCCAUCUUUUUGAUGUGCUUUGUGCUGUUCUAGCGAGCAUCUGAAUGACUCCUGGCAAUGGAUAUCUUGGCUCUCGUGUCGAUGAAGAACGUAGCGAAAUGCGACACUUGGUGUGAAUUGCAGAAUCCCGUGAACCAUCGAGUCUUUGAAUGCAAGUUGCGCACGAGGCCAUUAGGUCGAGUGCACGUCUGUUUGGGCGUCAUGUAUAGCGUCAUUCCAAUCUCCCACAUGCGAUGAGUGUGGUUUGGGUGAUGAUGGGUAUGGAGAAUGACCUUCCGUGCUUUAAUUGUAUGGUAGGUUUAAGUGAUUGUCGUUGCCAGGUAUAUGCGAGGCGAAUGGUGUAUCGAGUUAACACACGAUGUCUCUAAUCGCGUCCAUGAGACCUAGGCAUGACUUAGAACUAAUCGAAACCGAUUUCGACGUUUGCUUCAGUAGCAAGCUCGGACCAUGACCUCAGAUCAGAUCGGCNUCC
rnacentral:rRNA from 1 species